rnacentral:rRNA from 1 species
CCUACGGGGGGCAGCAGUGGGGGAUAUUGCACAAUGGGGGCAACCCUGAUGCAGCGACGCCGCGUGAGCGAUGGAGUACUUCGGUAUGUAAAGCUCUGACAGCAGGGAAGAGAAUGACGGUACCUGACCAAGAAGCCCCGGCUAAAUACGUGCCAGCAGCCGCGGUAAUACGUAGGGGGCAAGCGUUAUCCGGAUUUACUGGGUGUAAAGGGAGCGUAGACGGCGAUGCAAGUCUGAAGUGAAAGCCCGGGGCUCAACCCCGGGACUGCUUUGGAAACUGUAUGGCUGGAGUGCUGGAGAGGCAA